CUCUGGUUCACCUUUUGUUUUUCGUGACGUGGUCACUGCAUAUCCAGAACCUGAGGGAGAUGAGGAUGUCACCAAGUUGAAACCAGGUCAAGAAUGUGGAUGGACAGCGGUUCGAAUUUGGACAGAUAAUCCAGGGGUCUGGUUAUUUCAUUGUCACUUGGCUUCUCAUAUCGCUGCGGGUGAAGGAUUUGUCGUUUAUUCUCAUACAAAAGAUGAUCCUAGACUGAAACCACCUCAAUCAGGAUGAUAAUUUGACAAGCUAUUUUCUGUGUAAUAAUUGAAUGAUAUCUAACGUCCGGUAAAAAUUGCUUAUCUAUAUUUUGAAUCUGUAACAAUAAGUAGCAAUAAAAAUACGAAUGUAAUUAA